UUACGGCCAUAUCACGUUGAAACACCAGUUCCCGUACGAUCACCAAAGUUAAACAACGUCGAUCCUGGUCAGUACCUAGAUAGGUGACCGCUUAGAAAUACCAG
rnacentral:rRNA from 1 species